UACGGGGGGGGCAAGCGUUGUUCGGAAUUACUGGGCGUAAAGGGCUCGUAGGCGGCCAACUAAGUCAGACGUGGAAUCCCUAGGCUCAACCUAGGAACUGCGUCUGAUACUGGAUGGCUUGAAUCCGGGAGAGGGAUGCAGAAUUCCAGGUGUAGCAGUGAAAUGCGUAGAUAUCAUGAGGAAUACCAGAGGCGAAGGCGGCUACCUGGACAAUUGCUGACGCUCAGGCACGAAAGCGUGGGGAGCAAAAGGG
rnacentral:rRNA from 1 species